GCCAUGGAAGCUGCUGAUUGUUCUUGAAUUUAAAGUGGAGAAUAAGGGACCACAAAUUGCAGGGUUUGAGCAUUCCAUGUUUUUCUUAAAUGAGCCUGUCUGCAUUUUCAAAACGUGUGCUUUCAAAAGAGAGCUGUAUUUUCUGAAUCCAGCUGUGAAUGUGGAGACCAGCCGUCCUCCAAGGGCAUGCGAGAACACACCGUUGAGAUCCAGGCUGCUUCUGCUCGGAGAGUGGCUUGCUCGGCGGCUCCCCAGCCACUCUUUUUCUGGAAGGGUUGGUCUCCGCCAGCUGGACAUGUCCUUGCUCUGCCAACUGUACAGCCUCUACGAGUCGAUUCAGGAGUACAAGGGGGCAUGCCAGGCAGCCUCCAGCCCAGACUGCACUUACGCUCUGGAGAACGGCUUCUUCGAUGAAGAGGAGGAAUAUUUCCAGGAGCAGAACUCCCUGCACGACAGGAGGGACCGAGGCCCUCCUCGGGACUUGUCACUGCCUGUCUCCUCCCUCUCCAGCAGCGACUGGAUUCUGGAGUCCAUCUAGAGGGUCUUGGGAGGGAUGUGACUGUUGGGAAGCCCUUCCUACUGGACACGCUGUCAUCAUUUGCUGCUUCUCUUGCAAGAAAGCACCUCCGUUGUGGACGGUCCUCGGGCACAGGGGAUGAGCGCUACCAGUUUCAUUUGUAGGCAGGGAGUUCUCCGCGGAUGCAUGGUGGCAGUCUGCUUUGAUGGCAGCAGUUUCUGCUUAGGUGACCUAGAGGUCCUCAGCAGUAUCCUCCACACCUAUUUAUUGAGGUGCACCUGCUGGGGAUUCAUAAUGAGAAUAUAACAAGAGGAUCUCGGUGAAAGGCCUUAGUGGGUGUUUUGUGUGAGGUGGCUUGUAGCUAGCUACUUCCUUACAGAUGGUAGAGUAUUCCAAUCCUCUUUGUGUUAGGGUUCUUGCUUCCAGUUUGGGAUGUAUUAAAACCACCAUUUCACUGCUUCCCUUC
rnacentral:lncRNA from 1 species